CGUAACCGUUUUGAGCCUUAUGAGUAAAGUUGCAUCAAUGACUGGGGUGAAGUCUUUUGGGGUAUCUGAUCGCUAUGGGAUUCCGUGACUCCACAACGACAACGAUGAUAACUCGCUGUCGGCGAUAUACAGUCGGUGGCCAAGCGAAAGCGAUAAGUUAUCCACCUGGGGAGUACGACCGCAAGGUUGAAACUCAAAGGAAUUGACGGGGGCCCGCACAAGCGGAGGAACAUGUGGUUUAAUUCGAUGAUACGCGAGGAACCUUACCCGGGCUCGAACGGUGCAGGAAUAUGGUAGAGAUAUCAUAGCUAGCAAUAGUCUGUAUCGAGGUGCUGCAUGGUUGUCGUCAGCUCGUGCCGUGAGGUGUCGGCUUAAGUGCCAUAACGAGCGCAACCCUUGUCAUUAGUUACCAUCAGGUCAAGCUGGGGACUCUAAUGUGACUGCCACCGUAAGGGUGAGAGGAAGGGGGGGAUGACGUCAAAUCAGCACGGCCCUUAUGUCCGGGGCGACACACGUGUUACAAUGGGGGGUACAGAGGGCAGCCAUCCGGCGACGGAGCGCCAAUCUCAAAAACCCUUCUCAGUUCGGAUUGGAGUCUGCAACCCGA
rnacentral:rRNA from 1 species